AUUGAACGCUGGCGGCAGGCCUAACACAUGCAAGUCGAACGAGUGGCGGACGGGUGAGUAAUGUCUGGGAAACUGCCCGAUGGAGGGGGAUAACUACUGGAAACGGUAGCUAAUACCGCAUACCAUCGGAUGUGCCCAGAGGGGAUUAGCUUGUAGGUGAGGUAACGGCUCACCUAGGCGACGAUCCCUAGCUGGUCUGAGAGGAUGACCAGGCGCACUGGAACUAAGACAGGGUCCCGACUCAUACGGGAGGCAGCAGUGGGUAAUAUGGCACAAUGGGCGCGAUCCUGAUGCUGCCAUGCCGGGUGGAGGAAGAAGGCCUUCGGGUUGUACAGUACUUUCAGCGGGGAGGCGUUGCCCGCAGAAGACGCACCGGCUAACUCCGUGCCAGCAUCCGCUGUAAUAC
rnacentral:rRNA from 1 species